CCAGCCGGAAGCGAGUCUUGCAUGGGCGGCGGCAACAUCGCUCGUGAAGCGUAGACAGCGGAUGCUGAAGCCAUGUGUCAGCCUCGAGAUUAUGUGCAUGCGGAGGCCUUCGGCGUGGGUAGCCCGGGGGCAGCAUCGUCGGAACCGCCAAGGGCGAGGUUCUGGCGGCUCGGCCGGGGUCUUGGAGCA
rnacentral:ncRNA from 1 species